rnacentral:rRNA from 1 species
UACGUAGGGCGCAAGCGUUGUCCGGAAUUAUUGGGCGUAAAGAGCUCGUAGGCGGUCUGUCGCGUCUGUUGUGAAAAACUCGAGGCUCAACCUCGGGCUUGCAGUGGAUACGGGCAGACUAGAGUGCGGUAGGGGAGACUGGAAUUCCUGGUGUAGCGGUGGAAUGCGCAGAUAUCAGGAGGAACACCGAUGGCGAAGGCAGGUCUCUGGGCCGCAACUGACGCUGAGGAGCGAAAGCAUGGGGAGCGAACAGG